rnacentral:rRNA from 1 species
UAAAUACUCCUGACUGACCGAUAGUGAACCAGUACCGUGAGGGAAAGGCGAAAAGAACCCCGGCGAGGGGAGUGAAAAAGAACCUGAAACCGUGUACGUACAAGCAGUGGGAGCACCCUUCGGGGUGUGACUGCGUACCUUUUGUAUAAUGGGUCAGCGACUUAUAUUCUGUAGCAAGGUUAACCGAAUAGGGGAGCCGCAGGGAAACCGAGUCUUAACUGGGCGAAUUAGUUGCAGGGUAUAGACCCGAAACCCGGUGAUCUAGCCAUGGGCAGGUUGAAGGUUGGGUAACACUAACUGGAGGACCGAACCGACUAAUGUUGAAAAAUUAGCGGAUGACUUGUGGCUGGGGGUGAAAGGCCAAUCAAACCGGGAGAUAGCUGGUUCUCCCCGAAAGCU